UACGUAGGGUGCAAGCGUUGUUCGGAAUCACUGGGCGUAAAGGGAGCGUAGGCGGGAUCGUAAGUUAGGAGUUUAAUACGUGGGCUUAACCCACGCUCGGCUUUUAAUACUGCGAUUCUUGAAUAUGGGAGAGGAUGAUGGAAUUCCAGGUGUAGCGGUGGAAUGCGUAGAUAUCUGGAAGAACACCAGUAGCGAAGGCGGUCAUCUGGCCCAAUAUUGACGCUGAGGCUCGAAAGCUAGGGGAG
rnacentral:rRNA from 1 species